rnacentral:tRNA from 1 species
GGGGCAGUAGCUCAAUUGGUAGAGCGUCCGCUUGGCGUGCGGGAGGUCAGGGGUUCAAAUCCCCUCUGCUCCA